AAAGAUUUCAGGUACCUAUAAAAAUCUUAACAUUAUUUAUCAGUUUGAACAAUAUUUUAGAGUUUGUUAUCAACCCAACAAUAUGUUUCGAACCAUUUUCGAUGCCUCUUUAUGACAAACUAUUUUUGAAAAAUUCUUUCCUAAAAAUAUACCCCCUCUUCCUAAUACCCUUUUUGGACUUGUGAAAUGUCUUAAUCAUCCUCCUUGGGUGAAGACUCUUGAUCCUUUGUAUGAGGAGAAUAAGAGCAUCCUCAUUAAGAAUCAAGUUACAAGUGCGAGAUGUUAUGUGUACAAUUUUCUCAGGGAUAAAUUUUGGCCUUUGUGUUGGGUCGACAAUACUAUUUUUUUACCCUGUUAUUGUUGCCCAAAGAGUCCCUCAACACCCGGAUGAUACUCAACAUUAGGAAAGUGGUUUAGAAGGUGAUGAAGAAGAUGCUUCAUUGAAGCUCUAGAAGAGAAAAAGUAUAUCUAAAAAAAUUUAUCUUCGCUCGAAGGAGGUCGACAUUUCAAAGGAAAAGCCCUAUGUGGAACUCCAUAGUGGUCAAUCUGAAAAUCAAUAAAGAGAAAGGGAAACAAAAAACCUUAUCUAUUAAGUUCGUAUCGAAGUUGAUUAUUUCAACUGACAAAUUGAUGAAGGAUGCCAUGAAACCUUCUGCACAGGUGAUGCAUCCAUCACCAUAUCUCUUUUCCCCAUUUUUCUCUUAGAUUAGUUUCCUCAUAUAUCUCCACUUUAUUUUUAAAAUAAAAAUGUUGACCCUAGAAGUAUCUGAGUCUUCCUCUGGAAGCCCUAAAAAAUUCUUUCAAUUGAGAAUCGACCCUCAAAGAAUAUUACUAUCAUUGCUAUUGUCCUCUCGAGACGUCAUGAAAAACAUUGAGGCUCAAACUCCCCUCAAGCGCCCCUUUGAAAUUGUUGCGUCCAACCUUAUUGUUGAUGUUGCUCAUCCAACCACUACGGAGGGUGUCAAUGUUACUUUGUUACCCCUAGAAUCUUUUCAAGACCUCGAAGUGACUUCUGGAGAUAAGCCUCACCAGUCUAUCCCCAUUGUCCAUUCUCCAACAAUGAAAGAUAAUGUCGAGUCUUCCGAGAUGCCACCAACUUCGAUUCCCCCUGACGAUCUAGACCUUAUAAUUUUUUUUAAUGACAAAAAUGCUCAAGAUUAUAUCGUCGAGGUUUUGGAAAACUAGACUAGUGGAAUGUCGAUCUCAGGAAAGACCCAGGAUAUGGUUGUGAGCUUCCAACCUCUCUUAGCUUCAUUCUGCUCAAAGACGUAUGUGGGGAAUUUAGAUCAAGCUCUUUUGGAUCCUCGUCUCAAAAUCAAAAUCGAGUAGAUGGUUGAUGAUUUAAAUGCUCUCCCUGAUCUACCUUUGGAGGUAACAACGAAAUUGAAUGAGUAUGUUCAAACUUUUACUAUUGCCUCCGAAUUGCGUGCAAAAUGGGCUACUUCUCAUCAAGAGAUGGCUCAAAUCAAAGUUGAUAUUGAAGGAGAUCGUGCCAAGUUGGAGAGACUUAAAUCAUAGCUAAUUUUGAUCAAUGAGUCCAUUGCGCACUUAGUUCCAAAAUUAAUGAAGCUUAACCAGGAUGAGUUGGAUACAGAGAAAACAAGCAAAGCUCUACAAUUAGAACUCGACUCAAUAAAAGCUAAACAUGCCACUUUGAAUGUCCAAAGUCAAGAGGUUAUGUCGAAACAAAAAGGUCUGAUAGAAGAAGGGAAAGACAUAUCACUUAAACUCUCGAAGUCCCUGGAGCAAAAAAGAAGAUUGGAAGCGUUAUGUGCUUCAAGGAAACGAAGUCUCGAUCAAACAUAUCAAGCAUAUGAAGCACUUAAAUCGAAAUUUUGUAAAUAAUCUAUUGAUUUUCUUAAACAUCUUUGCCAAGUAUGUACUUGAUUAAUGGAUUUUAAUAUAUGUUACUUU